rnacentral:rRNA from 1 species
UGGGGAAUAUUGGACAAUGGGCGAAAGCCUGAUCCAGCCAUGCCGCGUGGGUGAAGAAGGCCUUCGGGUUGUAAAGCCCUUUUGUUGGGGAAGAAAUCCUGCUGGCUAAUACCCGGCGGGGAUGACGGUACCCAAAGAAUAAGCACCGGCUAACUUCGUGCCAGCAGCCGCGGUAAUACGAAGGGUGCAAGCGUUAUUCGGAAUUACUGGGCGUAAAGCGUGCGUAGGUGGUGGCUUAAGUCCGUUGUGAAAGCCCUGGGCUCAACCUGGGAAUUGCAGUGGAUACUGGGUCACUAGAGUGUGGUAGAGGGUGGCGGAAUUCCCGGUGUAGCAGUGAAAUGCGUAGAGAUCGGGAGGAACACCCGUGGCGAAGGCGGCCACCUGGGCCAACACUGACACUGAGGCACGAAAGCGUGGGGAGCAAACAGGAUUAGAUACCCUGGUAGUCCACGCCCUAAACGAUGCGAACUGGAUGUNGGGUUCAAUUUGGGACUCAGUGUCG